rnacentral:rRNA from 1 species
AGUCGAGCGGGGAUGUACUGAAGAUUUAUCGGAUGUACAUCUUAGCGGCGGACGGGUGAGUAACGCGUGGGCAACCUGCCUUCCACUGGGGGAUAACACAGGGAAACCUGUGCUAAUACCGCAUGACAUCACAUAGGGCAUCCUGUGUGAUCAAAGGAGUGAUCCGGUGGAAGAUGGGCCCGCGUCCGAUUAGCUAGUUGGUGAGGUAACGGCUCACCAAGGCGACGAUCGGUAGCCGGACUGAGAGGUUGGCCGGCCACAUUGGGACUGAGACACGGCCCAGACUCCUACGGGAGGCAGCAGUGGGGAAUAUUGCGCAAUGGGGGGAACCCUGACGCAGCGACGCCGCGUGAAGGAAGAAGGCCUUCGGGCUGUAAACUUCUUUGAUGAGGGACGAAGGAAGUGACGGUACCUCAAAACCAAGCCACGGCUAACUACGUGCCAGCAGCCGCGGUAAUACGUAGGUGGCGAGCGUUGUCCGGAAUUACUGGGUGUAAAGGGCGUGUAGGCGGGGAUGCAAGUCAGAUGUGAAAUACCGCGGCUUAACCGCGGGGCUGCAUCUGAAACUGUGUCUCUUGAGUGUCGGAGAGGAAAGCGGAAUUCCCAGUGUAGCGGUGAAAUGCGUA